rnacentral:rRNA from 1 species
AUACGGAGGGGGUUAGCGUUGUUCGGAAUUACUGGGCGUAAAGCGUACGUAGGCGGAUCAGAAAGUAUGGGGUGAAAUCCCAGGGCUCAACCCUGGAACUGCCUCAUAAACUCCUGGUCUUGAGUUCGAGAGAGGUGAGUGGAAUUCCGAGUGUAGAGGUGAAAUUCGUAGAUAUUCGGAGGAACACCAGUGGCGAAGGCGGCUCACUGGCUCGAUACUGACGCUGAGGUACGAAAGUGUGGGGAGCAAACAGGAUUAGAAACCCCAGUAGUCC